rnacentral:tRNA from 1 species
GAUAAGGUGGCUGAAUUUUAGGCUGUAAAUUGUAAAUUUAUAUAUGGUUGUUAACCCCUUAUUA